UCCCUGGUAGUCCAGUGGUCAGGACUUCAUGCUUUCACUGUGAAGGGCCCGGGUUAGAUCCCUGGUCAGGGAA